rnacentral:rRNA from 1 species
CGCGGCCUAUCAGCUUGUUGGUGGGGUAACGGCCUACCAAGGCAUCGACGGGUAGCUGGUCUGAGAGGACGAUCAGCCACACUGGGACUGAGACACGGCCCAGACUCCUACGGGGGGCAGCAGUGGGGAAUAUUGCGCAAUGGGCGAAAGCCUGACGCAGCAACGCCGCGUGGGGGAUGACGGCUUUCGGGUUGUAAACCCCUUUCAGUGAUGACGAAAAUGACGGUAAUCACAGAAGAAGCCCCGGCCAACUACGUGCCAGCAGCCGCGGUAACACGUAGGGGGCGAGCGUUGUCCGGAUUUAUUGGGCGUAAAGAGCUCGUAGGCGGUUGCGUAAGUCGGAUGUGAAAACUCAGGGCUCAACCCUGAGCCGCCAUCCGAUACUGCGCUGACUAGAGUCCGGUAGGGGAGCAUGGAAUUCCUGGUGUAGCGGUGAAAUGCGCAGAUAUCAGGAGGAACACCAGUAGCGAAGGCGGUGCUCUGGGCCGGUACUGACGCUGAGGAGCGAAAGCAUGGGUAGCAAACAGGAUUAGAUACCCUGGUAGUCCAUGCCGUAAACGUUGGGCACUAGGUGUGGGACCUACUUAACGGGUUCCGUGCCGUAGCUAACGCAUUAAGUGCCCCGCCUGGGGAGUACGG